GCCUGGAUAGCUCAGCUGGUUAGAGUGUGGUGCUGAUAACAGCAAGGUCGCAGGUUUGAUCCCUGUAUGGUACAGCUGCA